GGAAACGCCGCUAUUGAAUCCCUGGAACGAAUGAGGGAGCAAAGCAAGAAAGCAUCACUUCAGCUUGUAGAUAUGGAGUGCAGUUACCUGACUGUUGAUUUCUUCCGGAAGCUACCUCAAGAUAUUGAAAAGGGAGGCAACCCUACACAUUCGAUUUUUGACCGAUACAAUGACUCAUAUCUAAGGCGUGUCGGAACGACGGUGCUAUCUUAUGUCCAUAUGGUUUGUGCAAGCCUACGAAACUCGAUUCCAAAGUCCAUUGUUUAUUGUCAAGUACGAGAGGCCAAAAGAAGCCUCCUCGACCACUUUUUCACCGAGUUGGGAAAACUUGAGCAAAAGCGCCUAUCAUCAUUAUUGAACGAGGAUCCAGCGAUAAUGGAGCGGCGUUCUGCCCUAGCAAAGAGGCUCGAGUUAUACAGAAGUGCACAAGCAGAAAUCGACACGGUUGCUUGGUCGAAGUAAGAUUGUUACGUGUAUAAUAUCUUCUUUCUGUAUGUGGAAUCUGGGAGGGAAGAUGGCAGCAGCACAAUUCUUUCAUUCAUACAUUGCGGGGAAGAAGGUUAGCUGGAUAAAAGCUGAUUUUUGUUGUAU
rnacentral:misc_RNA from 1 species